rnacentral:snRNA from 1 species
UUGCUUCAGCAGCACAUAUACUAAAAUUGGAACGACAGAGAUUAGCACGGCCCCUGCACAAAGAUUACAGGCAAAUUCAUGAAGCAUUCCAUUAAAAA